rnacentral:rRNA from 1 species
AUGAGUUUCUCUUCUUCAUCACGGCGCUUAUGCAUAGCUUGGGUGCUACUACUUUGCCUUUGCGUACUAUUGUGCAGAGUGCAGGGAGGAUCAUCUCGCAAGCUCUACAUAGUUUACCUGGGUGACGUGAAGCAUGGACACCCUGACCACGUCGUGGCCUCGCACCAUGACAUGCUCACCGAUCUUCUCGGAAGCAAGGAAGAGUCUGUUGCCUCUGUGGUGUACAACUACAAGCAUGGCUUUUCCGGCUUCGCCGCGAUGCUUACACUGGAGCAAGCAAAGCAACUUGCAGAGUUUCCAGAGGUCGUCCGAGUCCAUCGGAGCAAAACACACACCGCAACCACCACCAGGAGCUGGGACUUUCUUGGCCUCGACUAUCAGACGCCGGCCAGUGGGCUGCUCCAUGGAAGCAACUACGGAGGGGAUUGCGUUCAAAAAAACUACGGAGAGGAUGUAAUCAUCGGGGUGGUUGACAGCGGGAUAUGGCCGGAGUCGAGAAGCUUCAGCGACGAAGGGUAUGGGCCAAUACCGUCAAGGUGGAAAGGAAAGUGCGAGGUCGGGCCAGACUGGGGCAUCAACAACUGCAGCCGCAAGAUCAUUGGCGCACGGUUCUACACCGCCGGAGUGAGCGACGAAAGCCUCAAGAUAGACUCACUCUCGCCUCGAGACCGUCACGGCCAUGGUACGCAUUGUGCGUCCACCGCGGCUGGAUCGGCCGUGGAGGUGGCCAGCUUCAACGGCCUUGCCCAGGGGGUUGCACGGGGAGGCGCGCCGCGUGCUUGCAUUGCGGUGUACAAGACCCUUUGGGUCACCGACGACGGUCGUGCCACCGGCAGCACGGUAGGCCUUCUCGCGGCCAUCGACGACGCGAUCUAUGAUGGAGUGGACGUCUUGUCUCUCUCCCUCAAUGACAUGGAGGAGAACUCCUUUGGUGCUCUACACGCAGUUCAGAAGGGAAUCACCGUCGUGUACACGAGCGGCAACAAUGGGCCUAGACCGCAGACAGUUAGGAACACUUCGCCAUGGGUCAUCACCGUGGCGGCGAGCAAGGUUGAUCGGUCAUUUCCCACAGUGAUCACGCUGGGAAACAAGCACCAAGUAGUGGGACAGUCCCUCUAUUACCAAGCCAAGAACUCGUCCGGGAGCAGUUUCACAGAUCUUCUCUUUACUAACCUGCCGUGUACUGCUGAUGUACUUAAUGGCACGGACGUAAGAGGGGCAAUCCUUGUCUGCUUACCACUGCCAGGUGAUCAAGAUGCGCUCACAACAUUCAGGACUUUCGCGCAGGCGGCACAAUACGUCCGGAAUGGCGGGGGGUCUAGUCUCAUUUUCGCCCAAUAUACAACAGACAAUUUAGGUAUCACAACAUUACCUGUUUGCCAAGGCAUUGCCUGCGUUCUGGUGGACCUUGACACUGCGGAGAAGAUCGGCAAAUAUAUGGAGGUCACAAGCUCUCCAGUGGCCAAGAUUGAACCAGCACGCACCGUUACGGGGAAACAGAUUUUGGGGGCAACAGUGGCAUCAUUCUCUUCAAGAGGUCCAUCACAUGAUUACCCGGACAUUAUCAAGCCUGACAUAGCUGCACCUGGAGCCAACAUCUUGGCGGCAGUGGGAGAUUCCUAUGAAUUUAUGUCUGGGACGUCAAUGGCGGCCCCGCAUGUAUCGGGUGUGGUGGCGCUACUCAAAGCUCUGCACCCAAACUGGUCUCCUGCCGCAAUAAAAUCAGCCAUCAUCACCACAGCCCAUGUAACGGACGAGCGCGGCAUGCCAGUACUAUCGGAAGGGCUACCACGGAAGACCGCCGACCCGUUCGACUACGGCGGUGGCAACAUCAACCCCAAUGGUGCAGCGGAUCCCGGCCUGGUCUACGACAUUGAUGCCCGUGACUACAACAAAUUCUUCAGGUGCAACAUUGUCAGGAGAACGAAUGUGAGUUGUGAUGCGACCAAACUACCGGCAAACCAACUGAACCUGCCCUCCAUCGCGGUGUCUGAGCUGAAGCAUCCGGUCACCAUGUGGAGGACAGUGAAGAACGUUGGUGAGGUCGACUCUGUGUACCACGCAGAAGUCCAUAGCCCGUCUGGAGUCCGGAUGGAGGUUGAGCCGCUAGUGCUCGUGUUCAAUUCCACAAACAUAGUUCAUUCAUUUAAGGUGAAGUUGUCGCCUAUGUGGAAGCUACAAGGGGACUACACCUUUGGCAGUAUUACUUGGCGUAAGGACCAUAAGGCGGUAAGGAUUCCUAUUGCAGCCCGAAUGACGAUUUAG